rnacentral:lncRNA from 1 species
UGGGGGGGGAGACAAGAUGGCGGCUGCGGGAGGGGGUCCUCGCUUCUCAGCUCCCCCGCUCACCCGCCUUCUCCUUCCCUGCCGCCGCCCUCGCUCCAGGAGAGAGCUUUCGCACCGCCCCCGCCCUGCUCGGUGCCUGCACGACUCCCAGAAAGUCGCGUCUCCCCUAACCCCCAUGCCCAGGACCUGAGGACAAAGGUCUAGCGAUUGUCCAUCCCCUCCCCCAGUGAGGACAGCCGGGAAAGACCUGCCUUUGUUGUGUACAGGUGGUAUCUCACUGUGUUAUCCAGACUGGACUCAAAUUUCUGGGCUCCAAUGGUCCUCUCACCUCAGCCUCCCAAGUAGUCAGGACUACAGAACUCCAUGGCAAUGUUUUGAGGAUUAAAGAGGAGAGUGAUGACUAUCCAAACGUCAGAGAACGCAACUAUGAGACUAGAGACACUGGAAAACUAAAAAAGUAACGGGCCUUUGCUGACUCAGGGAGAUGAUUUCCCAAGAGGGAAGAAAACUGGAACCUGAGAAAUAAGUGAUUUAGUAAUGUGGCUGCUAAAAUACGGAAAAACUAGAAUGAAUGGCUUACACAUUUUUGAAAUGAAGUUAGAAGAGGGUUAUACUGUGAAGAAGAAUGAAAAAGCCAAACAUUUCAUUCAGGUAAGCAUAUCACAUAGGAGAAACUCUAGGUGACUUUGGUUUGGCAGUGAGUUUUUAGAUACAACACCAAAGCACAAUCCAUAAAAGAAAAGAAAGAUAGAUAAGUUGGACUUCAUUAAAAUGAAAAACUUCUGCUCUGCAAAGACACUGUUAAGAGAAUGAAAACACAUGCCACAGACUAUGAGAAAAUAUGUGCAAAACACCUAUCUGAUAAAGGAAGUAUGUCUGAAAUACAAAGAACUCUUAAAACUCAGCAAUAAGAAAAUGAACAACCUGAUUAAAAUAUGGGCAAAAGAGCUGAAUGGAAACCUCCCCAAAGAAUAUAUGUAGAUGGCAAAUGAACAUAUGAAAAGAUUCUCAACACAAUAUGUCACUAGAAAAUUGCAAAUUAAAACAAGAUACCAGUAUACACUUAUUAGAUGAGCUAAAAUCCAAAAUACUAAGAACAGCAAAUGCUGAUGAGGUUGUGGAGCAACAGGAGCUCUCAUUCAUUGCUGGUGGGAAUGCAAAAUGAUGCAGCCACUUGGAAGACAGUCUGGCAGUUUCUUAAAGAUUAAACAAAGGCUUACCAGACACUCCGAAUGAAGAUCCCCUACAUGUCUUACCAGGGGAUAGGUGGGUGUUAGGAUGGAAAAGGGAGAGAGGAUCAACAAGGAAGAAGCCAGAUGAGAGCGGGAAGGGCCUCCAGGGUGCCCAUCCAAAGUGAACUCUGGAUUGGUCAGCAUCAAAAUGGGAGAAGUGAAACAUCUUUCCACCACCCCCAGGACUCGGUGUGUUUGCAUGACUGAUGAGUUGACUCCCUCUGGCUGUGAGCAGUACCUCCAGGUCCUUUCAGGGAAAUGGGCUCAAUUCACACAAAAGAAAGUAAAGCCUAUAAAUCAAGUCAAAAGAUAGAGCUCUUUAAAAAUUUGUGUUGCUGUCCUCAUUUUACAGAUGAAGAAACUGAGGCCCCAGAUCACAGGGCUGGUGAGAAGAACGUGAUAUCUCCAGAGCUAACACUUAACUACUAUAGUGUACCACACAAGGAGAGAGCAGCAUUAGAGAGGGGUGCCACUUCCUCUGAUGGAAGAUAAAAAAGAAAGAUUGCCAGCCUGGGCAACAUAGUGAGACCCUGUCUCUACAAAAAAUAAAAAUAAAAAAAUU